rnacentral:rRNA from 1 species
UACAGAGGUCUCAAGCGUUGUUCGGAUUCAUUGGGCGUAAAGGGUGUGUAGGUGGCGCGCUAAGUCGGGUGUGAAAUUUCGGAGCUUAACUCCGAAACUGCAUUCGAUACUGGCGUGCUUGAGGACUGGAGAGGAGACUGGAAUUUACGGUGAAGCAGUGAAAUGCGUAGAUAUCGUAAGGAAGACCAGUGGCGAAGGCGGGUCUCUGGACAGUUCCUGACACUGAGACACGAAGGCCAGGGGAGCAAACGGG